AGUGAACGCUGGCGGUAGGCCUAACACAUGCAAGUCGAACGGCAGCACAGUAAGAGCUUGCUCUUACGGGUGGCGAGUGGCGGACGGGUGAGGAAUACAUCAGAAUCUACUUUUUCGUGGGGGAUAACGUAGGGAAACUUACGCUAAUACCGCAUACGACCUACGGGUGAAAGCAGGGGAUCUUCGGACCUUGCGCGAUUGAAUGAGCCGAUGUCGGAUUAGCUAGUUGGCGGGGUAAAGGCCCACCAAGGCGACGAUCCGUAGCUGGUCUGAGAGGAUGAUCAGCCACACUGGAACUGAGACACGGUCCAGACUCCUACGGGAGGCAGCAGUGGGGAAUAUUGGACAAUGGGCGAAAGCCUGAUCCAGCCAUACCGCGUGGGUGAAGAAGGCCUUCGGGUUGUAAAGCCCUUUUGUUGGGAAAGAAAAGCAGCAGGUUAAUACCCCGCUGUUCUGACGGUACCCAAAGAAUAAGCACCGGCUAACUUCGUG
rnacentral:rRNA from 1 species